AAGGAGCAUCAGGAGCUGCUGGUGACGGCCCAUUAUUACUUUUGGUACGCGCUGUGACACUUCAAACUCGUACCGUGAGUAAUAAUGCGCUGUGGUCAGCACUGGCAUCACGUGGGCAA
rnacentral:pre_miRNA from 7 species